rnacentral:rRNA from 1 species
UACGUAGGGUGCGAGCGUUGUCCGGAAGUAUUGGGCGUAAAGGGCUCGUAGGCGGGCUGUUGCGUCAGGAGUGAAAACUCGGGGCUUAACCCCGAGCCUGCUUCUGAUACGGGCAGACUAGAGGUAUGCAGGGGAGAACGGAAUUCCUGGUGUAGCGGUGAAAUGCGCAGAUAUCAGGAGGAACACCGGUGGCGAAGGCGGUUCUCUGGGCAUUACCUGACGCUGAGGAGCGAAAGGGUGGGGAGCGAACAGG